AACGUAGGAGACAAGCGUUAUCCGGAGUUACUGGGCGUAAAGGGCGUGUAGGCGGUCUGUUAAGUCUGGCGUGAAAGCUCUCGGCUAAACCGGGAGAGGUCGUUGGAUACUGGCAGACUAGAGGACGGUAGAGGCGUGUGGAAUUCCGGGUGUAGUGGUGAAAUGCGUAGAGAUCCGGAGGAACACCAGUGGCGAAGGCGACACGCUGGGCCGUACCUGACGCUAAAGCGCGACAGCAUGGGGAGCAAACGGG
rnacentral:rRNA from 1 species